rnacentral:lncRNA from 1 species
CUAAAUAUGGGUAAGUUCAUACCCUAUAAUAAUCUCCUGUGUAAAGUCACUGACCCAUUUCCACUGCUGCUCUCUCAUCUGCUGCUCUGAAGCCUAAACCAUGGUGCCCAGAAUCUUCGAUGCAACUCAUGAGAAGCUGGAGGACCUGGAGAAGCUGGCAACUCAAAAAGGCCAAAGGGUGCAGACAAUAAAAGCCCCAGACAAGCGUAUAGAACCACACGCCGUCUUUUUACUUGCCGACAGGUCCACUUGGGAGCCUACAUGUCCCAGGCUUCGUGUCAGACACCAGUGAUGCAGUGCUGAGUAGAAAACGCAAAGUCAGUGUCUUCGUGACGUUCAUGACAGUGAGAGGAGAGAGAGAGAGAGAGAAGGUAGGAGAAUAAAACUCCUGAUUUUGGUUAUUGUCGUUCUUGUGUUUGGUGUCAUUAUCACUGUGAAGUUCUGGUGGAGAAAUUCCACAUCCCCCCCUGAGAUUCUCAAAGGUGUUUUUCCUUAAUGUGCUUUUUCAGAGGGUUGGGUUGUGAUUUUCCCUGAGAAGAGCCAUCUUGGGGUCAGGAUGUGAGGACAGAGGGGAAG